GGGCCCUUAGCUCAGUUGGUAGAGCAGCGGACUUUUAAUCCGUCGGUCCAGGGUUCGAAUCCCUGAGGGCCCACCA
rnacentral:tRNA from 1 species